rnacentral:rRNA from 1 species
AGUGAACGCUGGCGGUAGGCCUAACACAUGCAAGUCGAACGGCAGCACAGUAAGAGCUUGCUCUUACGGGUGGCGAGUGGCGGACGGGUGAGGAAUACAUCGGAAUCUACUUUUUCGUGGGGGAUAACGUAGGGAAACUUACUCUAAUACCGCAUACGACCUACGGGUGAAAGCAGUGGAUCUUCGGACCUUGCGCGGUUGAAUGAGCCGAUGUCGGAUUAGCUAGUUGGCGGGGUAAAGGCCCACCAAGGCGACGAUCCGUAGCUGGUCUGAGAGGAUGAUCAGCCACACUGGAACUGAGACACGGUCCAGACUCCUACGGGAGGCAGCAGAGGGGAAUAUUGGACAAUGGGCGCAAGCCUGAUCCAGCCAUACCGCGUGGGUGAAGAAGGCCUUCGGGUUGUAAAGCCCUUUUGUUGGGAAAGAAAAGCAGCAGGUUAAUACCCCGCUGUUCUGACGGUACCCAAAGAAUAAGCACCGGCUAACUUCGUG